CUGAUCUCGAUGCUCUCAUUAAGGCUCUUAAGGAGUCAUCCGGAUAUUGAAUCAAGUAGGGUGCUUGGUCAAGGAGUUACAAAGGAUGGUCUUUAUGUUCUAGAAGACACAAAGCUAUCCGAACCUUUAUCUUCUCAUUUUAGUUCAAAUAUUGUUGUUGCGAAUAGUGCUAUUUGGCAUGCUAGACUAGGUCAUCCACAUCCUCGGGCUUUAAGUUUAAUGCUACCAAAAGUUUCUUUUCAAAGUCUUGAUUGUGAAGCUUGUAUUCUUGGUAAACAUUGCAAAGCUAUUUUUCCUAA